ensembl:lncRNA
AUGUUCUUCUUCUUUGACUGCUUGUUUUACUUGGCAGAAUAUGUAAAGCAAAGUGAAGAACCUGCUUUGAUUGAAGUCAAAAAUCAGAAACUCCACAAAGCACAGCAGACAAAAAACCAGUACAAGAAAACCGCACUACAAACUAGAGCUGACAGCUGGCACAACAAAACAUUGCAUGGAAAGUUCCUUGACAAAACUGAAGGAAAAUCUGACAAGGAGAAGACCUGGCUCUGGCUCACAAAUGGGACCCUGAAGAAGAAGACGGAAGGCCUGAUCCUUGCAGCCCAGGAGCAAGCCAUCAGAACAAAGGCAAUUCAGGCCAAGAUCGAAAAAUCAGCUGAUGACCCAAAAUGCAGACUGUGCAAAGAAACCGACGCAACCAUGGAUCAUCUCCUCAGCUGCUGUAAGAAAAUCGCACAGACAGACUACAAACAGAGGCACAACUAUGUGGCCCAAAUGAUUCAUUGGAACUUAUGCCUCAAGUACCACCUUCCAGCAGCAAAGAACUGGUGGGAUCACAAACCUGCAAAAGUAUUGGAAAAUGAGCACGCAAAGAUACUGUGGGACUUCCGAAUCCAGACUGACAAAGUUCUGGAACACAACACACCAGACAUCACAGUUGUGGAAAAGAAAAAGGUUUGGAUCAUUGAUGUCGCCAUCCCAGGUGACAGUCGCAUUGACGAAAAACAACAGGAAAAACUCAGCCACUAUUAGGACUCCAAGAUUGAACUUCAAAGACUCUGGCAGAAACCAGUGCAGGUGGUCCCAGUGGUGAUGGGCACACUGGGUGCCGUGCCAAAAGAUCUCAGCCGGCAUUUGGAGACAAUAGACAUUGACAAAAUUACGAUCUGCCAACUGCAAAAAGCCACCCUACUGGGAUCUGCACGCAUCAUCCAAAAAUACAUCACACAGUCCUAGACAAUUGGGAAGUGUUUGACUUGUGAUUUUGUGAUAUGAAAUCCAGCAUGUCUAUCUUGUUUGCUGUGUCAUAAUAAAAUAAUAAUAAUAUAAUAUAAUAUAAUAUAUUAUUAUUAUUAUUAUUAUUAAUAAUAAUAAUAAUAAUAAUAAUAAUGAAGAAAAUAAUUAGGAAGAACCUCCUGGCGGCAACAGCUGUUUGUCAAUGCUGCCUGGUGAAGUCUCAACCCACCAGGUAUUAUUAUUAUUAUUAUUAUUAUUAUUAUUAUUAUUAUUAUUAUUAUAGGAGUUUCAAACAGCAUUAAUUCAACUUUCUAGGGAAGAUAUACUUGUCAGCAUACGUGUGGGUAAACAGUUUUCUCUGUGAAUCCUAUAUUUCCAAAGCAUUUUUCAGCAUGUCCAUUCUACAUCAAGGCUGGUAUCCCACAGCCCUAAGGCCAGGCUGUGUCGCACUGACCAAGAGGUCAUGAGUUCGAAGCCUGGGUCGGAUUGAAUGCCCGACCAUUAAAUAGCCUAGCUGGUUGUUGACCUAAGCAACCCGAAAGACAGUUGCAUCUGUCGGGGAAAUUUAGGCACCGCUUUAUAUGGGGAGGCUAAUUUAACUCAUUUAGGUAAAGGUAAAGGUCUCCCCUGACGUUAAGUCCAGUCGUGACCAACUCUGGGGAUUGGUGGUCAUCUCCAUUUCUAAGCCGAAGAGCCGCCGUUGUCCACAGACAUCUCCAAGGUCAUGUGGCCGGCAUGACUGCAUGGAGUGCCGUUACCUUCCCGCCAGAGCGGUACCUAUUGAUAUCAUCACAUUUGCAUGUUUUUGAACUACUACCCUGUUUCCCCUAAAAUAAGACAUCCCCAGAAAAUAAGACCUAGUAGAGGUUUUGCUGAAUUACUAAAUAUAAGGCCUCCCCCGAAAGUAAGCCCUAGCAAAGUUUUUGUUUGGAAGCAUGCCCGCUGAACAGAACACCAGAGCAUGCAGGAUUGGUAAAUGUACAUACCAUAAAGUGUUGUACAUGGAAAUAAUGGUAGUAACAAGAAAUUCUUGAUAGGAUUUCACAGUUUGUCUGGUUAUGCUGGUUUGUGAUGACAAUUACUGUACAGUAUAUAAUAAAUGUUCUUUUUUUUUGUUCAACCAUAAAUGUGAAUUCUUCUUCAUGGAAAAAUAAGAUACCCCCUGAAAAUAAGACCUAGCGCAUCUUUGGGAGCAAAAAUUAAUAUAAGACACUGUCUUAUUUUCGGGGAAACACGGUAGGUUGGCAGGAGCUGGGGCUAACAGCGGGUGCUCAUUCCACUCCCGGGAUUUGAACUUGGGACCUUUUGGUCCGCAAGUUCAGCAGCUCAGCGCUUUAUCACACUGUGCCACCAGGGGCCCUAACUAAUUUACGACACCAUAAAAAAGUCCAGCAGUGUGCAGAAGAAUGAGGAAGUGCUCCAUCAAGGACUCGGUGUCAGAAGUGGACGAUGAAGCGAUAGCUCUCCCUGUGGCUGGAAUGGAGCAUACCCUCAUGAAGGCAGAAGCUGGAAAAUGUUAAAUUGCCUCUGCCUCUAUCUCUUGUAGGUCGUAUGUCAUUGAAUGUUUGCCAUGCAUAUGUACAUUGCGAUCCGGCCCAAGUCCCCUUCAGGGUGAGAAGAGCAGAAUAUAAAUACUGAAAAUAAAUAAAUACAUUUUCCUGAUUGGUUGGUCUUUAUCUCUCUCUAUCAGGGACCAAAAAGGAGCCCCCUCCCAAAGCCCAGAAGGAAGAAGGAUCAAAUGCAAUCUCUCUCAUGAGGAGAAAGAGGAAUCAAAAUGGGGCAACAUGCCAAUCACUUGGCCAGGCCCAGAGCCCUGCUGACUCCUCUCACUAUCAGCUCCAAGCAGGCAGCUUCUGCUCAGCGGCAGGCUGGAGUAGAAGGCCAGCAAACAAAUGCAUACAAACACAUGCACAUUCUCACAGCCAGCAGUCUCUUCUGUAUGGAAUUGCAAAGCUGGGGUGUAUCGGAACCCUUCCUUCCUUGUGUUGUCGAAGGCUUUCAUGGCCGGGAUCACAGGGUUGUUGUAUGUCUUUCGGGCUGUGUGGCCAUGUUCCAGAAAUAUUCUCUCCUGACGUUUCGCCCACAUCUAUGGCAGGCAUCCUCAGAGGUUGUGAGGUAUGGAUAAACUAAUGGUUUCUUCCUUUCUUUUUCAUGAAAGGCACUGCAGACUAAUUCAACCAGAGAAAUCAGCCAUAGCAGAGCAUUUGAUGAACCAGCCUGGACACAGGAUAUUAUUUGAUAACACAAAAAUGCUGGACCAUUCCAACAACUAUCAUGUCAGACUACACAGAGAAGCCAUUGAAAUCCACAAGCAUGUGGACAACUUCAACAGAAAGGAAGAAACCAUGAAAAUGAACAAAAUCUGGCUACCAGUAUUACAAAACUCCAAAAUCAAAACAGUAGAUGGGAACCAACACUCUGAGGGCUUGACUGAACAAAGGAUGCCCCCAGGCAAGAGACAAAACAUGUCCAAUGCUAAUUAGGGUGAUUAACUGAAACAUUAAUGCUGGCUCCCAGUGACAAAGGACUCUUGCCACACCCUGGACUCUACACAGAUAUAUAUUCUUUCCUUUCCUUACUUAGUUUCUCCAUACCUCUGAGGAUGCCUGCCAUAGAUGUGGGAGAGAAUACUUCUGGAACAUGGCCACACAGCCCGAAAGACAUGCAACAACCCUUCCUUCCUUCUUUCCCACCCCAAGGACAGAGCAACACACAGCAUCCCCGGCCCAGCUCUUUGUCUCCAGUGCAGAAGCAUGGCUUGCCUUGUGCAUCCUUGGGCUUCGAACUAACUGCCCGUGCUGACUGGCAGUGGCUCCCCCAGGAUCCUAAACCUUGCCGCACCUUUUGAUUGGAGAUACCAGGGAUUGAAAUUGGCACUCUCUGAAUGCCAUGAAGGUGUCCUGAAAACGCAGUCUCCCCAUGUUGCACCUCAGCACUGGAUCGCCUUGCUCUUAACACACACUCCACCACAGCAGACUUGGUUUGUUCCGUUUAUUGAUAAAAGAUAGCAAAAUCUUAAUAAAAAGCAGUAAAGAAAGCAGUAAUCCAAUGGCAAAGGCAAUCUGCAGAAUACAGUUCAAAGUCUUUGUAGAAAAUAGUUCAAUGGCUCUAAAAUAGCAUAUCAGUCCUUGAGAAACAAGGUAGCAUGAGCUUCAAAAUUAAAUCACAGAAUCUAGGCAGGAACCGAAGUGAGGAUCUAUUUCUAUGAGCAGAGACAAGGCAAGAGUUAAGCUUCCAGAAUCAACGUUGCUCUGACUGAAAUCUUUCCCUGUUUCACCCUUUUUAACCAUGCUUACAAGUUAGAAAAGCCUUCCUCUGAGCUUUGGUUCCCACACUUUUUAGCAAUUCUCACAGAACACCUAGGACCAACUCUUAACCUUAAUCUUGUGUCUCUAUCUAAGGAAAGCUCCUCUGACUCGCUGCCAGAGCCACCUGGACUUUGUUGAUGUUCAAAAUCCUGUGAAAAGUCACUCUUAUCAUUAACUUCAGCUUCCCUGCUAGUCUGCGGCCUUUCUAACAAUUCAGUAGGUAAAGGUAAAGGUUUCCCCUGACGUUGUCCAUAGACACCUCCAAGGUCAUGUGGCCAGCAUGACUGCAUGGAGCACCGUUAUCUUCCUGCCAGAGCGGUACCUAUUGAUCUACUCACAUUGGAAUGUUUUCGAACUGCUAGGUUGGCAGAAGCUGGAGCUAACAGUGGGCACUCACUCCGCUCCUGGGAUUUGAACCUGGGACCUUUCGGUCUGCAAGUUCAGCAGCUCAGUGCUUUAACACACUUCGCCACCGGGGCUCCUAACAAUUCAGAGCC